CCUUUAAGGCGAAGUCACUGAUACCACGCUUCCAGGAAAAGCUCCUAAGCUUCAGCUUACGCAGACCGUACCGUAAACCGACACAGGUGGGUAGGAUGAGAAUUCUCAGGCGCUUGAGAGAACUCGGGUGAAGGAACUAGGCAACAUGGCACCGUAACUUCGGGAGAAGGUGCACCCUUUUUGGUGGCUCGUGCGAGCUAUAGCUGAAGAGGGUCGCAGUAACCAGGCCGCUGCGACUGUUUAUCAAAAACACAGCACUCUGCAAACACGAAAGUGGACGUAUAGGGUGUGACGCCUGCCCGGUGCUGGAAGGUUAAUUGAUGGGGUCAGCCGCAAGGCGAAGCUCUUGAUCGAAGCCCCAGUAAACGGCGGCCGUAACUAUAACGGUCCUAAGGUAGCGAAAUUCCUUGUCGGGUAAGUUCCGACCUGCACGAAUGGCGUAACGACAGCGGCGCUGUCUCCACCCGAGACUCAGUGAAAUUGAAAUCGCUGUGAAGAUGCAGCGUUCCCGUGGCAAGACGGAAAGACCCCGUGAACCUUUACUAUAGCUUUACACUGAACGUUGAGUUCGUCUGUGUAGGAUAGGUGGGAGGCUAUGAAACUGUGGCGCUAGCUGCAGCGGAGCCAUCCUUGAAAUACCACCCUGUCGUGCUUGACGUUCUAACCUGGGCCCAUUAUCUGGGUCGGGGACCGUGUAUGGUGGGUAGUUUGACUGGGGCGGUCUCCUCCUAAAGAGUAACGGAGGAGCUCGAAGGUACGCUCAGCGCGGUCGGACAUCGCGCACUGUGUGCAAAGGCAUAAGCGUGCUUGACUGCAAGAUCGACGGAUCAAGCAGGUAGGAAACUAGGACUUAGUGAUCCGGUGGUUCUGUAUGGAAGGGCCAUCGCUCAACGGAUAAAAGGUACUCCGGGGAUAACAGGCUGAUACCGCCCAAGAGUUCAUAUCGACGGCGGUGUUUGGCACCUCGAUGUCGGCUCAUCACAUCCUGGGGCUGUAGUCGGUCCCAAGGGUAUGGCUGUUCGCCAUUUAAAGUGGUACGCGAGCUGGGUUCAGAACGUCGUGAGACAGUUCGGUCCCUAUCUGCCAUGGGCGUUGGAGAUUUGAGAGGGGCUGCUCCUAGUACGAGAGGACCGGAGUGGACGAACCUCUGGUGUUCCGGUUGUCACGCCAGUGGCAUUGCCGGGUAGCUAUGUUCGGAAGCGAUAACCGCUGAAAGCAUCUAAGCGGGAAGCGCGCCUCAAGAUGAGAUCUCCCGGGGCACAAGCCCCCUGAAGGAACCAUGUAGACUACGUGGUUGAUAGGUCAGGUGUGUAAGUACAGCAAUGUAUUGAGCUAACUGAUACUAAUGAUCCGAGAGGCUUGACCAU
rnacentral:rRNA from 1 species